GGAAGACUAACUUAGUCCUAGACUCUGCAGAGAGUAGGAAUGGAUCUGAUGGUGAAGCUUGGACAAACUCUGUAUUUGAAACAGACAAAGGAACGCAGACAACAGAACAACAGAGUGAGGCUGAACCAGGGUUACCUAACAUUUAAAAUAAAGGGUCUGUUAGGAACGGAAUGCUUGACUGUUCCGUUUGUUCUAGUGUUCGGGGGACACGUUUCAGAUACUAGAACCAUUCAUUCAGUAUGCAAGAGCUCUCUAGCUAACACUGAGCCUAUCAUUAGACCCACUACAACAAUCAGACUAUCUUUACUGAUGGCCUGUCCACGAAGCCUUGAGUGUGUCCGACACCAAGCAGCACGGUAUACAAGCCUCGUGUUGGUGGUGAAAGAGAGGGGAGGAAGUGGGAGACUGAUAGGAAUAGAGAAGAGAAAGUCAGUCAGUGAGAAACGGUAUUUGUGUGAAUGUCUCAAGAGUUAAAACCAGAUUGUGGUGUUUUAUAGUUUACUAACCAGGCAUAAUGUGUGUCUACUAUCAGUGGGGCAGUCUUAGGCUGUGUGUCCCCCAAAUGACACCCUAUUCCCUAUAUAGUGCACUACUUUUGACCAACGUCCUAUGGACCCUGGUCAAUAGUAAUGCACCGAAUAGGGAAUAGGGCGUCAUUUUGGACGUAGUCUUUACAGUAGUAGUUGUGACUGGGCACUAUGCCAUUUAAGGUGGGUAAAGUGAAAGUGGAGUUGAGGUAGAAGCCAGGGCUAGUGGAGACAGAAGAGGAGAGGUCAGGGGACUCUCUAUCUCCAACACAUGGCAGUAGUACUGUGCUACUGGGUUGAGGUAGAAGCCAGGGCUAGUGGAGACAGAAGAGGAGAGGUCAGGGGACUCUCUAUCUCCAACACAUGGCAGUAGUACUGUGCUACUGGGUUGAGGUAGAAGCCAGGGCUAGUGGAGGCAGAAGAGGAGAGGUCAGGGGACUCUCUAUCUCCAACACAUGGCAGUAGUACUGUGCUACUGGGUUGAGGUAGAAGCCAGGGCUAGUGGAGGCAGAAGAGGAGAGGUCAGGGGACUCUCUAUCUCCAACACAUGGCAGUAGUACUGUGCUGCUGGGUUGAGGUAGAAGCCAGGGCUAGUGGAGACAGAAGAGGAGAGUUCAGGGGACUCUCUAUCUCCAACACAUGGCAGUAGUACUGUACGCUGUGCUGCUGGGUUUGACCAACAAGUGACUUCCUCAUCACCAAUGCUGGUUGUUCAAGCCCAGUUAUUUCAUCAUCUGCUUAAUGCUGCCCCAGUCUCUUUAAUGAAACCACCUGUGGCUUUUAGUGCAGGUUUGUAGCUUGUUCUAAAGUAGCAGACAGUCUCACCGCUCACAAUGCAGACAAAUAAAUGGUUGGUUCCAUCAUGAUUAGAUUUCUUUGACGUGAAUGUUUUAGUUUUUUGGUUGAUGUCCUUCUGGGUUUUUUGGAAACCUUACAAGAUGUUGUAAUGAUAGAUGAACAGUGUCCGUAUCUUUCUCGUUACCUGACAGUGUUGUAGACAGUAAAACUGGUCCAAUCUGUGUACAACAGAAUAGUUCAUUAAGCCCCAUGUCCUUUUCAAAGCAACUGUACAAAACCAUUACCUGGGGUCAAACAUGUUUAAAACCCUAGAAAAGGGAUUUUUAAUAAACACUCGUCACCUUAACUACUGAUUAGCUUACAGGGACUGCUAGAUCUAUCGCCUUCUGCUUAGCGCUUCAGUCGUCUCUCCUCACUGUAAACAUGUCUGCUACGGCAAAUCACUUGAAAACACAUGGUAGAUUCUCAAUCAUUUGUCUUUACAGAGUGACUAUGUUGUAUCCUGGAUAUUUAAAACCGUUAAAAACAGUUGGGGUUUUCUAAAACGUUUUGUGGAUUGAACUUUUUGUACUUACUGGAGGCCCUCAGUACAGCAGUACAGUACUUACUGGAGGCCCUCAGUACAGCAGUACAGUACUUACUAGAGGCCCUCAGUACAGCAGUACAGUACUUACUAGAGGCCCUCAGUACAGCAGUACAGUACUUACUAGAGGCCCUCAGUACAGCAGUACAGUACUUACUGGAGGCCCUCAGUACAGCAGUACAGUACUUACUAGAGGCCCUCAGUACAGCAGUACAGUACUUACUGGAGGCCCUCAGUACAGCAGUACAGUACUUACUGGAGGCCCUCAGUACAGCAGUACAGUACUUACUGGAGGCCCUCAGUACAGCAGUACAGUACUUACUGGAGGCCCUCAGUACAGCAGUACAGUACUUACUGGAGGCCCUCAGUACAGCAGUACAGUACGUACUGGAGGCCCUCAGUACAGCAGUACAGUACUUACUGGAGGCCCUCAGUACAGCAGUACAGUACUUACUGGAGGCCCUCAGUACAGCAGUACAGUACUUACUGGAGGCCCUCAGUACAGUACUUACUAGAGGCCCUCAGUACAGCAGUACGGUACUUACUGGAGGCCCUCAGUACAGCAGUACGGUACUUACUGGAGGCCCUCAGUACUUAGCAAGUUUGGUUGAAGCUGUGAACGUGACAAAAAAUACUAUUUUCUUAGUUAUUUUGUUGAUGAUCGAUACUUUUGAAAAACAAAAACAAAUAAGACCUUUACAAUGCCACUGCCUCAGUGCCAUUACCAUGCAGUAAUGACUUUAGCUUCAAUCUGCUCUAUCUAAAGAAUACGGAGCAAUAUUUACAAUGUUUACUUCCUCUUAACUAAGUGUCAUACUGUAUGAUACAGUGGCUGCAAUGCAUAACAUGCAAUGGUGAACAGGUUAUGGUGAGGUUACAGUAGUGAACAGGUUAUGGUGAGCUUACAAUGGUGAACAGGUUAUGGUGAGGUUACAGUAGUGAACAGGUUAUGGUGAGCUUACAAUAGUGAGCUUACAAUGGUGAACAGGUUAUGGUGAGGUUACAGUAGUGAACAGGUUAUGGUGAACAGGUUAUGGUGCGGUUACAGUAGUGAACAGGUUAUGGUGAGCUUACAAUGGUGAACAGGUUAUGGUGAGGUUACAGUAGUGAACAGGUUAUGGUGAGCUUACAAUGGUGAACAGGUUAUGGUGAGGUUACAGUAGUGAACAGGUUAUGGUGAGGUUACAAUGGUGAACAGGUUAUGGUGAGGUUACAGUAGUGAACAGGUUAUGGUGAGGUUACAGUAGUGAACAGGUUAUGGUGAGCUUACAAUGGUGAACAGGUUAUGGUGAGGUUACAGUAGUGAACAGGUUAUGGUGAGCUUACAAUGGUGAACAGGUUAUGGUGAGGUUACAGUAGUGAACAGGUUAUGGUGAACAGGUUAUGGUGAGGUUACAGUAGUGUACAGGUUAUGGUGAGGUUACAAUGGUGAACAGGUUAUGGUGAGGUUACAGUAGUGAACAGGUUAUGGUGAACAGGUUAUGGUGAGGUUACAGUAGUGAACAGGUUAUGGUGAGAUUACAGUGGUGAAACUGAAGACCUCCUCUGAUGAGCAUAUUUACAGUAGCUCUGGUCCAGCUCUGUGCUCCAACGAUCGUCGUCGUGAGAGAGUAGCUGAACCACACACUGGACCAGAGCUACAUUUCCAUAGUUACAGAGGGAAGUUACUGAAUUUACAAAGCGUAAUAAUAUUCAUUUUUACCAUCCAUUCAGAAUCCCGAUCGAUUCUGCUACCUGUUCUGUUCCUUGUUACUGUUACGUCACACCUCCUCCUUCGCCUUUCUGUAACUGAUGUCCUGCAAAGUGCACAUAACAUGUUGGAAUGUCAUGCAAUUCAGCGUUGGUCAGACUGACACAGAAGUGGUUGAAUAAAGAGCAUGCUUGUUUCUCUAGCUACCAUCUGGCAUGUUACCUUUUCAUCACAGCUUGUUAUACUGUAAAGUUAUGACCACAAAACGACUCCAAACGUGUACACAGCCACCCUCACAAAAACAAAACAUUUCAAGUUGAUUUAAAGUGUUUUGUUCUACUUAUCAGAAUUUUUUUUUUUUUUUUUUUUUGCAAUUUUAUGUCUCAAGAAACAUCUAGUGACUUAAUUCAAUGGUUUUUCCUCGUGCUGUUUAACAUUGUACAAAAAUGUUUUAAACUAAUAGUAAAAUGGAAAACCAAACGGAACCUGUUAGGAGUCAUUGGCAGCGUUUAACUGUUCUGCAUUAAGUAGAGGCUGUUCAAGCUUCAAAUAAAACUGCGCUUUGCGCUCCAAUAAAAUAUAUUUGUUACUUUAUUUGUAAACUUAAUAAAUAAAAGUAAUUUAAAUGAA